rnacentral:rRNA from 1 species
CCUAUAGCCGCCGAUGGAGCAGAAGAAGAAACCCUAAUCCCAAAAUCAAAUCCCGUCCCCUCUCGAUCUAUGGUUCGUCCCCUCUUCGCCCGGCGGCGGCCGCCGCCGGAGCACGCGGCAUAUAUCCUAACUGGGUCCUCCUCGACACCGUAGUGCGCGGGGCAAACUACGACUGGGAGAAAAUGUCAAUCGCUGAGUGUUCUUCUUCCUUGGCUACCACAGCCAGAACAUUCGUGGAUGUCAGAAGUGAGGCGGAGUCGAAGGAAGAAGUGGUGGUGGAGGUGGAGGUUUCCUUCUUAUUCGCCAGCCCACCGGAUGUAUCUGGCUUCGUUGUCCAUGUUGGGGAUUACGGGUUGUCGUAUGGUGCCUCCGUCGUUAGCACCGAUGGCAACGCUGUUCUGCUAGCCAUUACCAUGGCAAUGUUCAACUUGCAGCGCUAUCUCGUCUACAGGGUUGACCAAGGGAAUCCGUCACUUGAGGUGCUUCCAGACCGACCUAUGCUGAAAUUCCAUCCAACCAAAGUGGUUGGCAUCCUCAGCCAUGGCAAGGGAUACAUUGUGGCUGCCUUGACGCGCAAGCUCAAAAUUGACUAUCUUGCUUAUGAGCUCUUUCUCUACACAUCCCAGACCAAGGCAUGGAGCAGCAAGGUGAUACCACUGGAGUGUACUAGGGACGCUGACCUGAUUCACGUCCUGAUACCACCAAGGUAAUCACAGUUGGAGUGGAUUCAUUGGGGUGGGUUGACCUUUGGCGUGGUAUACUUUUCUGCAAUGUGCUUGAUGAGAAUCCAGUGGUCCGCUUCUUGAGCUUUCCUUGCCCCAUGCCGUCUAAUGCAUGUAACUUGGGAACAUCAUGUCCUAGGCCGUUUAGGGAUGUGAUCUGCAUUGGCAACACACUGAAGUUUGUUGAGGUGGAGUAUAACCAAGGUGAAGAUGAUACUGACUAUGGUUCGAAUACUGACCAUGGUUGGAAGGCGACAACUCAGAAGAGGAAUCUCGGGUCAGAGUGGACUGAAUGCUUUAGUGUACAUACUAGUGACAUCCUUUUAACCGAUGAAAGUUGGGAUUUGUUGUCACACAGGCUGCGGGAUGAUGAUGCACGCCAACUUUCCUUGAGUAAGUUGGGAGUGUUUAGCUCCUACCCUUGGCAUAGAUGAUGACUAUCUUUACAUGAUGACCCGGCCACUUGGAAGCAAUGAGAAGCCAUUGGGUCUGUUUGCUUCUCUUGACAUUAAAAAUAAGGACAUGAGGCUUGUGUCUUUUUCUACGGAAAGGAUGUCAUAUAUUGAUCCCAACUACCGGCCAUGUACUGUUUCACGUUACUUCAACAACACCUCUGUUGCAGGGAAGCCUCUCAAAAGUAAGAACAAGAAAGCUGCACCGAGGUUUAUUAUUGGUGAAAAUCUGAGGUAAUUCCAUAUGGCUAGGUUGGAGAGCAGCUUAGUGGAAUAAAUUUAUUUCAGUUAGCAAUAUCAUCUCACAGAUCUGAACAGUCAAUUGUUCUGUUUGUUCUGUUUAUACUGCAGGUGGAUUGGUUCGGUUAAAUUAGCAGUGCUCCGCAACAUCCUUGUUGCCAUUCAAAGGCUCACGUCGUUAGAUGCAAUACUGAUGAAACCAGAAAGGCCGGAUGAAACACAGCUAGAUCAAACACGGCUAAGGAAUUGCUCUGCCUCUGUUGAAAUGCUUGGCCAGAUGGCCCAUGGUAUUAGUUCGUACACUGAUCAUUUACCUGCAACCAGCAUCCAAUACCAUGUUGACGCACUUAAAGAAGGGUUUUCUAUUUUGGGUGGUAAGACUUUCCCAUUUAUGGACAAUGACGAGUAUGCAAGUUUUGUCGAUAUCACACACUUCAAAAUAUUGGAUGUCGUAAAAGUGGCGCGCAGUCUUGUAAAAGAAUUGCUGCCUAAAAGACUGGACGAUCCACAUUAUUCGCUCCGAUCUGUGGAACGGACUCUUAUGUAUGGAGAGCUGCCACUGACACCGUAUCUGAGGCGUCUUGACCUGUCAGAAGGAUGUGCUUAGGCGCAUCGCCCUGUCAGAUGGGUGGUUGUAACAGCAAUGCAGUAUGGAAGAGUGACGCUGCUCUGCAAUUUCUAAUCCGUGAACCAUGUAAGCAGGUUAUAUGGUGGACGAUAACCAAUGAAAUCUGGGUUAUUGUUUGUUUUAACUAGCAGCUGAGUUGUCAUGUUCACACCAAAGUUUGAAGCUAUAGUAGUUGGGCUGUGCGCUUCGUUUUCAAGGUGCCAAAUUGUGGAGCGUCCAAUCCAAUGAAAAGCUCAUAUUGAACUUGUAUUGUGCGAAACGGUAGGAUAAGAUAUCCUGAGCGUUGACAGUGUUGUUCAUGUUAAUGCAAAUGUUCCGCUUCCUUUGCUGGCUGUUGUUCGAUUCCGGUUCCUUGGUUGUGCGUUGUAUUGCCUUUGUAAAGAAAUACAAGAGCAUUUACCUUCUUACGAAGGGAGUAAAGCA